CUUCCAUAAACCAAAGAGGCUAAGCAGGCAGCUUCCAGCAGCUUCAACAUCUGCUAGGAAGAGUAGUAUCACACCCAGAGUGUUGACAGAUGAUGACAUCCGGCAACUGCAGGUUGUGGACCCAGGUGUUGCAGUGCUGACAAGCCUGGAAAAUAGUGACACGGACACUGCAUCAUCUCAUCUGACCCUGAUUCAGAGGAGCUUCCAGACUUACCUGAGCCCUUGACUGCUUUAUUUGAUGCAACACUUAGGGAACUCUCACCACAGGAAAUGCAGGAGGCGUUGAUAAAAGCACAUGACUUCUUUAUCUCAAGUGUGUUGCCUGAACUACUGACAAGAAGACAUGACCCUGUCUUGGUGACACAGAGAGCCUGCGAAUACUGUAAAAGGCCAGUUUUGGAAAAAUGAUCAUCUGUGUCAAAUGCACCAACCACAUACACUACAGUUGUGCACAAAUAAAAAGGAAGUCUGCAAAAUGGUUGCGUAGGAAAUGUCUAAGAGUUGAGGCUUGAAUGCCUUAAUUUAGGACUGAAUUAUUAGGAAUUAUUAUUUACUGUUUGAUCAGUUUGAUUGUAAUAUAUUGUACAUACUCCUACUUUCCAUGUCAAUGUUUAAUCGCACUUUAAUGGCACCUUUGUUGUUUGUAUACUAUGUUAAUAUCAUUACAAAUAAGUGAUGCUGCACACUGAAUUAAGAGAUAAUCUGGGGGCGAAAGGACCAUUAGACACACCAGUGGCAGACAAUGUUGGGAGGUUUAUUAUAAUUCAUUACGUUUUAAGUACAG
ensembl:lncRNA